GUCCCUGUAGUGCAAUGAAUAGCACAUUGAACUUCAAAUAAAAAAGGUCGUGGAUUCGAAUCACACCUGGGACG